rnacentral:rRNA from 1 species
CCGCCGGCGACCGGCGCACGGGUGAGUAACACGUAUGCAACCUGGCCGUGACAGAUGGAUAACCGGGAGAAAUCCCGCCUAAUACAGCAUGACGCCGGGAAGGGACAUCCCUUUCCGGCCAAAGGGGGCGACUCCGGUCACGGAUGGGCAUGCGGCGCAUUAGGUAGUUGGUGGGGCAACGACCCACCAAGCCGACGAUGCGUAGGGGUUCUGAGAGGAAGGUCCCCCACAUUGGAACUGAGACACGGUCCAAACUCCUACGGGAGGCAGCAG